GAUGAACGCUGGCGGCGUGCCUAAUACAUGCAAGUCGAACGAAACUUCUUUAUCACCGAGUGCUUGCGCUCACCGAUAAAGGGUUGAGUGGCGAACGGGUGAGUAACACGUGGGCAACCUGCCCAAAAGAGGGGGAUAACACUUGGAAACAGGUGCUAAUACCGCAUAACAAUAGUUACCGCAUGGUAACUAUGUAAAAGGUGGCUAUACUACCGCUUUUGGAUGGGCCCGCGGCGCAUUAGCUAGUUGGUAGGGUAAAGGCUUACCAAGGCAAUGAUGCGUAGCCGAAUUGAGAGGUUGAUCGGCCACAUUGGGACUGAGACACGGCCCAAACUCCUACGGGAGGCAGCAGUAGGGAAUCUUCCACAAUGGGCGAAAGCCUGAUGGAGCAACGCCGCGUGGGUGAAGAAGGUCUUCGGAUCGUAAAACCCUGUUGUUAGAGAAGAAAGUGCGUGAGAGUAACUGUUCACGUUUCGACGGUAUCUAACCAGAAAGCCACGGCUAACUACGUG
rnacentral:rRNA from 1 species